GUAGGGAAUCUUCCGCAAUGGACGCAAGUCUGACGGAGCAACGCCGCGUGUGUGAAGAAGGUCUUCGGAUCGUAAAGCACUGUUGUUAGAGAAGAACAGCCGGUAGAGUAACUGUUACCGGAUUGACGGUAUCUAACCAGAAAGCCACGGCUAACUACGUGCCAGCAGCCGCGGUAAUACGUAGGUGGCAAGCGUUGUCCGGAUUUAUUGGGCGUAAAGGGAGCGCAGGCGGUGACUUAAGUCUGAUGUGAAAGCCCACGGCUCAACCGUGGAGGGUCAUUGGAAACUGGGUCACUUGAGUAUAGAAGAGGAAAGUGGAAUUCCAUGUGUAGCGGUGAAAUGCGUAGAUAUAUGGAGGAACACCAGUGGCGAAGGCGACUUUCUGGUCUAUAACUGACGCUGAGGCUCGAAAGCGUGGGGAGCAAACAGGAUUAGAAACCCUAGUAGUCC
rnacentral:rRNA from 1 species